CAAGUGCCAGGCACUCUUCACGUGCAUUGUCUCGGGCAACCUGUAAACAGCCGAAGAGUUAGAUAAAAUUGCUGCCUCAUUCUACUAAUGAGAAAAAGGGCCACUGCAGGGGCCAUCCUGGAGGGAGUCACAAUGCAGGAGGACAGUGGCAAGUUCAAGAGCUACUGCAGCCGGGGAACAGCAGGACAGCAGCACGUUCAAGGGCUCUUGCAGCAGGACAUAGCAGGGAAAGGCCUCCCUGAGUCUAACCAAUUUACUCCUAUUGAUUUUCAGAUCAGAGGGGUUCAGCUCACAAAUCAAAAGAUGCUUUUCCCUCUCUGCCGCUAAAUCUGCAGCCUCUCCCAGACACCUCACAAAUUCUGCUUUGAUCUUGAUUAGCCUGGAUGCUUCUAGGUUGGAAACGGUAUGGAGGAGGCAGAGAUCUAAAGGUAAUCUGGGCUGCACCAGUCAGCCUGGCAUGGACUGGUGCAUGUACGUGUGCUCACAGGUCCUGGGCAAUGAGGCCGGGCAGCCCAGUGGUGAGAGGUCUGGGAGCUGGGUUCUGAUGUGGGCAUCCUCACCCACUUGUUUAUAACCUUUCACACUUAAACUCCCUAGGCUCUUUUUCUCAAUUGUCAAAUGGAAAUAAGAGCCACUCUAGCCUUAUGGCUAAGGAACUGGAGCUUCAGAAUCAAACAGAACUGGGUUCAACUCCCACCUAUGUCCUGUGUUACCUCAGGCAAGUCACAUCACCUCUCUGAGCCUCCAUUCCUUCAUCUGAAAAAUGAGCUUCCAGCAAUUCUGGCCUCUCAGAGUCAUUGUGAGAAUGACUCAAGAUGAUGCACAUAGAAGUAUUUAGCACUUGAAUGGCUUCUAGCAAGAUCAGGAAGUAUUUAGCACUUGAAUGGCUUCUAGCAAGAUCAGGAAACGCCACCUAUUACUACUAAAUGGGGCUUUGGUAAGAAUAAAACAGAAUCAUGUGUGUAAAGUGCUUUGAAAAGUACAAAGGACUGAAAAGACUCUGAAGGCUUCUGGAAAUCAGUCUACCACAUUUUGGAGCUGGGGUUAGGAAAGACCCUUGGAAGGGGAUCCAAAGAAAGACACUCCAGAGCAAGAUAUAUAGGAGGCCCAAGGACACUCUGCAGUGCAGGGCAGGCCACUUUCUGGGGCUCCAGGUGUUUUCUAUAUGAUUGUGAUCUUGAUGCUCCCCACCUCACCCCACUGUCACCCCCAAAAAUUCCCAUUGUAUACAAUUCCUUUUACAGGUGAGAGUCAUGCUGGUAACACCGCCUGUCAUCAGAGCCUUCCAGCUCUGGCAAGGACUGCUUGUUGCUAUGCCAACAACCAUUCUCACCUUCCUCUUUUAUAAAACGAUGCCAGUUGUAUUUAAGCAGCAAUAAUUCCCAGAUUCUGUUGAAUCUAGGUAUGGCCAGGUGACUAUGUUGUGGCCAACAAGAUGUAACUAGAAGUGUUUAUGGAGCUUUUGCAAAAACUCUUUGAAAAGAAAGUUAUUUCUCCCCCUUUUCCCCCUUUAUGACCAGACCUACAGCGUGGCAUGGAUAUCCACUGGCCGGCGCACCAGAAGCCAUGUUAGACUAAGAGGUGACUCAGGAUGGCCAUGCACUGGAGGUAGCAAAGCAGAGAGAAAGGAUUCUGCCUGAUGACAGCCUACAGCCUCCAUUACCAGGCCUGGGCCAAUCACCUCUGGACUUUUUCUACAUGAGAGAAUAAACCAUUAUAUGUUUAAAUCUG